CUCAACCUUACAACUGAGGAUGGGAAUGACGGAACCAUGUUUCCAGAAACCAUCCCGCCAAUACUUCUGCGUGCGUCAUGGCGGACAGGUCAUGGGGUAUGAAGUACAGGUAGAUUCGGCAGAACGGAGGCUAGAGCCAUUUGAAUUGAAAAGGUAUGCCAACGGAUAUGCCGCGCGGCUGAAAA
rfam:Paenibacillus sp. Soil522 contig_82, whole genome shotgun sequence.